CCUACGGGAGGCAGCAGUGAGGAAUAUUGGUCAAUGGGCGCGAGGCUGAACCAGCCAAGUCGCGUGAGGGAUGACGGCCCUACGGGUUGUCAACCUCUUUUGUCGGGGAGCAAAGAGAGUCACGUGUGGCUCAUUGAGAGUACCCGAAGAAAAAGCAUCGGCUAACUCCGUGCCAGCAGCAGCGGGAAUACGGAGGAUGCGAGCGUUAUCCGGAUUGAUUGGGUUUAAAGGGUGCGCAGGCGGAGGUGCAAGUCAGUGGUCAAAUUGCGGGGCUCAACCCCGUACUGCCGUUGAAACUGCAUCCCUUGAGUGCGCGAGAAGUAUGCGGAAUGCGUGGUGUAGCGGUGAAAUGCAUAGAGAUCACGCAGAACUCCGAUUGCGAAGGCAGCAUACCGGAGCGCAACUGACGCUCAUGCACGAAAGCGUGGGUAUCGAACAGGAUUAGAUACCCUUGUAGUC
rnacentral:rRNA from 1 species